rnacentral:rRNA from 1 species
AAGAACACAAUGACGGUACCUGAGGAAUAAGCAUCGGCUAACUCCGUGCCAGCAGCCGCGGUAAUACGGAGGAUGCAAGCGUUAUCCGGAAUGAUUGGGCGUAAAGCGUCCGCAGGUGGCAAUGYAAGUCUGCUGUUAAAGAGUGAGGCUCAACCUCAUAAGAGCAGUGGAAACUACAUAGCUAGAGUACGUUCGGGGCAGAGGGAAUUCCUGGUGUAGCGGUGAAAUGCGUAGAGAUCAGGAAGAACACCGGUGGCGA